UGGGUGAAAAGCUGAUGAUUGACCCUCAGC
rnacentral:piRNA from 1 species